UCUGAUAAUAAUUCCCACAUUCCACAUAGAUUGUUACAUUUCCUUUCAGACAGUGCUACAUAUCAGAUAGAGUGCUACGUUUCAGUUAGACGUUUGCACAGUGUAUUUCCCCUUGUCACAGCGAAUGUUUUUCAUGAAUGCAUACACAGGAAGAAAAGCAGUUCUUCCACUUGAGCUGCAGCCUGGGUAAUAGAGCCAGUUACUUCCUAGUUUUUGUAACAAGUGAUCACAAGGCUGUGGGUGUUGUUGUAACAAACGUCUGAAACGAAACUCUGAAAACCAGGCUGAGAAACCAGCAGACCCGGCAAAAUCUUCUCACACGAAGGGUUGGUAAAGGUGAGCAUGCACUGCCUACCUACCUGCAUUUGGAGCUAGCAAAGACAUGAUUAGAAAUGUUUCCUCCGGAAAACAACCAGGAAGUGUAGUGUUCCACGUUCCCCGGGUUCUCUUCGCAGUUCCUGUGGCUCUGAUUAGUUCGUCUUACUGUUUUAUAAACAGAAGAUGCACAGACUUUUGGGGUUGUAG